GAAAGAACAGUACUGAAAUAUAUUUUAGUUUCUUGUCAGUAGUUUUAAGGGAAGUCGAUGGUUGGAUUUACCUCAUAUAAGAACAUCGCUUAUUGAUACAGUACCUGACUUUGGAGAAACUACGGUUGAUUAUUAACCGCACAACGCCGAACGUAAGAUUCCAGAUGUGUGCGAGGUUAAGAAUUCUGGUUCGUAUGGACCUGAUGCCGAACAGUCGGACGGGCGUACUUCAACGUAAAUUGUGCACAAUAUUUUAUGGGUGAUAACCACAUCUGAAGUCCACCCUGUCCGACUUUAAUGGAUGAAGAUAUCGAUGACACUUUGUUUCCAUGGAUACGCAGACUGCAAGUUUUUAUAUCGUUAUAAAUAUAUAUUAGUAUAUAUAUAUAUAUAUAUAUAUAUCAUACAAAUUAAGAGUAUAUAUAUGUAUUAUUGUCAAUUAACCCGCAUUUUUUCUUAUCUUGUAGCCUCAAUCUCACACUGGCAAGGCUUUUCAACCCCUUUCAAGGAGUUAUUUUUCUACAUUGUUAAUAUAUCGGGGUGAAAGCGUUGCCAGGAGUGGGCUUAAUCCAUCCGAAUGGAGAGAACCACAGAAAAUCAAAAAUUAGAGUGAGCUGUGUUUAGGUUCUGGUUUCUUUUUGUUGUCACCUCUGAUGUAGUUUAUUGUAGAGUGUUGCUUACUCUGUAUUGUGAUGUGACCUAGUUUGGGCGGUCUGCGCAUUCUGGUGUUAAGUAUGCACUAUUUUUAUAAACUCUCAGCGUCACGACGCAACAUGGAGUAAUGUACAGUAGAGAGGAGAAAAUUUAUACUUGGCGCAACCGUGAAAGUUUUGCUAGCAAGUCACGUGAUUGUAAACUAGUAGUAGUUUCAAGACUACUACAAUACUUUGAGUAGUUUCUGUGAUUUGAAGACGAGUGAUUACUGCCCUAAGCCUACCUCAACUUGACUGUUCUGCUAAUCAAGCUAAUUUCUGUAACUGGACGUUUCGUGUUGUAGGUGGUUCACCACUCCCAUAAAAAAAAUUCGUAAAGUUGCUAAAAAAAUCGAUGAAUAAUGAACCGCCUAAACCGAAAUCCAGUUGUUUUAGAGCCUUAAAAACUAGUGUUAACUUCCCAGGCCUUUUAAAUGUAAAUAGAAAUAAACCUCCCAGUUGGGGCAACUGAAGUGCCAAGGCCUGGAGAACGUUCUACACCUUUGUGUUUUCUGACUAGAGAACUUGAACCUUCUGUUUCUUUUCGGGCCGGUCUGUGGAUCGAAGGAUCCAAGGUUCGAAACGAUAUGCCGUUGAACACGCUCCACGCUUUCCGCCGUAAGUCCGUUAUUAAACUGACAGUAAAUCCCGUCAUUCGGUCCAAAGAGCCGGAAAAAGCCCUUGUGGCGGCGGGUACUGCUGACUGAUUCCUAUCCUACUGGUCAGUAGUUCAAAAUUAAGGACAGCUAUACCUGUAUCCUAAUUAAGGGUCUUUGACUUGGCCGUUCAGGUUGAAAAUUUUAAUCCUAUUCUAUUUACUUUCCAUCGGUGAAUUUGCAAAUCAAUUAUCAUUCAAAGUUUAACAUUUUAUGUUUAAUAUAAAUAAUUGGGUUAACUGUUUGGAAUUUGAAAGUACUGGAAAAUAAAUAAAAUAAAACUGAUUGAUGUUUUUCAAGAUUGAAUUUGGUCUUUUUUUGUUUUUUCUUUUUUAGAAUAGUAGGUUGUAGUUUCGGUUUUGAAUAAAUCCCGUGUGCUGUAUGUAUACAUGUAUUUGUUCAUCAUGGACCCGGCCCGGGAACGUAAAACAACAAAGUUUUCAGAAGUUUUAAGCAAACCCGAGCAUUUUGGCUCUCUACCAGUAGAUCUUACUGUACUUUCUUCAUGCUAUGAUAACCUGUGUUUGUAUGAAAUAAACUGUGUGAAAUGUCA
rnacentral:lncRNA from 1 species